rnacentral:rRNA from 1 species
ACUCCUACGGGAGGCAGCAGUGGGGAAUAUUGCACAAUGGGCGCAAGCCUGAUGCAGCCAUGCCGCGUGUGUGAAGAAGGCCUCGGUUGUAAAGCACUUUCAGUCGUGAGGAAGGUAGUGUAGUUAAUAGCUGCAUUAUUUGACGUUAGCGACAGAAGAAGCACCGGCUAACUCCGUGCCAGCAGCCGCGGUAAUACGGAGGGUGCGAGCGUUAAUCGGAAUUACUGGGCGUAAAGCGCAUGCAGGUGGUUUGUUAAGUCAGAUGUGAAAGCCCGGGGCUCAACCUCGGAAUAGCAUUUGAAACUGGCAGACUAGAGUACUGUAGAGGGGGUAGAAUUUCAGGUGUAGCGGUGAAAUGCGUAGAGAUCUGAAGGAAUACCGGUGGCGAAGGCGGCCCCCUGGACAGAUACUGACACUCAGAUGCGAAAGCGUGGGGAGCAAACAGGAUUAGAUACCCUGGUAGGAUAGCG